rnacentral:rRNA from 1 species
CUACGGGCGGCAGCAGUGGGGAAUAUUGGACAAUGGGCGAAAGCCUGAUCCAGCGAUGCCGCGUGUGUGAAGAAGGCCUGCGGGUUGUAAAGCACUUUCGGUGGGGAGAAUGAGACCAUCUCUAAUAUAGGUGGAGGAAGAUGUUACCCACAGAAGAAGCACCGGCUAACUCUGUGCCAGCAGCCGCGGUAAUACAGAGGGUGCAAGCGUUAAUCGGAAUUACUGGGCGUAAAGGGUGUGUAGGCGGUUAGAUAAGUUAGGUGUGAAAGGCCCGGGCUUAAACUGGGAACUGCGCCUAAUACUGUCUAGCUAGAGUAUUGUAGAGGAAAGUGGAAUUUCCGGUGUAGCGGUGAAAUGCGUAGAUAUCGGAAGGAACAUCAGUGGCGAAGGCGACUUUCUGGACAAAUAAUGACGCUGAGACACGGAAGCAUGGGGAGCAAACAGGAUUAGAUACCCUGGUAGUC